UUAAGUGAGGAGACGUCUCCAGCCUUGCUUCAAUACAUGCUUUCCAACUUCUGCACCUGUUCCACGGUUCCGUCCGCCUGAAGGCUCUCUCACUCUCCUCCAGAAAGACUUCCAUCUCCCUGCAGGGAAACUGGACACAUGGAGACAUUGAGCCACUGCCCAAAGUUACACAGGAAAGCCAGCUAUGUCAAUGUGGACACUCGAGCAGUCCUCUGGAGUGAGCCACAUGGUGAAAAAUGGAGUCCUCCUGCCACCAGCCAAAAGGGACUUGCCAACCUUGUGACUGAGCCGGCCCAGACACUCCAGCCCCAGUUAAACCUUUGGAAGACUGUGGCCUCACCAACAUCUUGACUGCAACUUCGUGAGAGACCCAGAGCUAGACCCAUGCAACUAAGCUGCUCCCCAAUUCCUGGCCCACAGACACUGGGAGAGAUAAUACAUGUUUAUUUCUGUUUGAAGCUGCUAAGUUUUGGGUAAUUUGUUUUGCAGCAAUAGGUAAUUGAUAGCAUUAGGAAACAUUAGCUAAUGCUAACAAUGUUUUGCAGAUGAGGGAAUUGAGGCAUAAAAGUAACUUGCCCCAGGUCACACAGGUAACAAGUCGUUUAAACCAUGGCAGUUUGGAUCUAUGUAAAGUUCAGUAAUAAAUUAGAAUCUCUCUUUUACAGGAAUCAGGACACUUUGCCUGCUCAGAGGGAGAGAGGGAAAGAGACAGAGACACAAACACAGAGAGACAGUGACAUGGAGAAGUGCGCCGUGGGCUCACAGUACCAUGUGAAGGACUGGGGCUGCCCUUCUGUAAAGUGAAGGCAGUGGAGAAGUGAAGUGAAGUGUAAGUGAAGAGGAAAGUGAAGGAUGGUAGAGAGCACCCUUGCCCUUGCAGCCUGGCUGUGUUUGGCUUGGGGCUGCUGGUCUCCGACCCUGGCUGGGCUGGUGACACAGCCUAAGGUACCUGGGGGUGGAAUCUGGCACCCCUGAGCAGACCCCUCCCUGGCUCUUGUCCCCCUGUGCUGACACUCUCUGUCCCAGGCUCUCUCUGCCUCCAGACCAGAGCUCCUCCAGGGAAAAGGUGGAGUCUUGUUCGUCUGUGUCCCUCACCUAGCAUAAGGCCUGCCAGAGCAGGCUGGGCGAGGUGAACACAGAAGGUCCUCUGGCCCUGGUACUGGAGAGGCAUCAUCACUGGGGACAGAGUGAGAACCAGGAUGAUGCUGUUUGUUACUGGAGGAGCUCCCAUUGGAUGGAGGAGCCAACAACGACAGGCCAGUGUGAUCAGGGAGAUUGGGACACACAGUGCCGUGGGGGCCCAGAGGAGCAGGGAGGAUCUCUGUGGAGGAGGCGAGAAGUCUUCCCAGAGGAGGAGGCAUUUGAGGUGAGGCCCAAACGGUAAACAGAAGCCAACCCAUGCGGGAGUGUUCUAGGCAGAGGGCAUGGCCUAGCAGAGGUCACAGCCUGGCAAAGUUCUGAAGCUCCAGUUCCUGGGGGGCAGUGUGAAAGAGUAGGCUGCUGGGGCUCCCAUGGCUCUGGAGACCAACAUGGGACUUGGGAGUGGCAGGGUGCCAUAUUGACAGCAGGUGAAAUAUCACCUACAUCUGUCUCAUGGGGAAUUCAUUACAUUUUGGGUUGGGUUUGGGAGUUUUCUUUGGAAACUCAGGGUAGGCAGGGUCUGUAAGCUUGAGUCAGCCCAGGAUGGAGAGGCAGGGUAGGGGAGAACCAAAGUCACCUGGGUGGCCGAAGCUUUACCAGGACCUCAGUGUCCAUUUGGUGUCUUGUGUGUUUCAAGGACUGAGCUUUCUCCCUUUGCCCCUCACAGAAAUUAACCAGUUUAUGUGCCCUGAAAAAUUCCCACUUCCACCCUCUGGGUUCGCAUGCUGGCUCAGUCACUUACUAGCUGUGUGACCUCUCUGCUGCUUAGCUUACUCAUCUGUAAAAUGGGAUAAACACAAAACCUGCCUGAUGGAGAUGUCGUAAGGAUCAAAGAGGAAAAAGAAUUUAAAACAUUUAGAAUGGUGCCUGACCCCCAGCAAGUAUACAAUAAAUAUUGGCUAUUGUUGUUAUUUUAUGUGGUUUUCUUUUAACUUUUUCAAGUAAAUAUAAC
rnacentral:lncRNA from 10 species